rnacentral:rRNA from 1 species
AUGUCCAUCUUUACAAUUCCUAAAAAAAUUGUAAAGGAAUCAUUGACGCGAUGUUGCAUUUUUGAUGGGGUGACUAGGACAAUCAGAAGAGAUUGCACUGGAUGGCAUGGUGGAAGAUGUGUGUACCAAAAAAACCAAGGAGGCAUGGGCUUUCGAGAUAUACAUUGUUUCAACUUGGCUUUGUUAGCCAAACAAGCAUGGCGUCUUAUUGAUAAACCGGAGUCUUUAUGUGCCACUAUUUUGAGAACUAAGUAUUUCCCUGAUGGCGACUUGAUGAGUGCAAGUUUAAAGAAGGGUUCGUCCUUUACUUGGCAAAGCAUUAUGGCGGGGGUUAACUCACUGAAAAAUGGUUAUAUCUGGCGAGUUGGAAAUGGUCAAAAAAUUGAUAUUUGGAGAGAUGCAUGGAUUCCUCACAGUACAGAUAGGAAAAUUAUCACCCCUACAAGAGGGCAACUUUUGUGA